UACAGAGGGCGCGAGCGUUGUCCGGAAUCACUGGGCGUAAAGGGCGCGUAGGUGGCCACUAUAAGGCCGCGGUGAAAGUUCGGGGCUCAACCCUGAAUCUGCCGCGGCGACUGUAGGGCUAGGGCACCGUAGAGGCAGAUGGAAUUCCGGGUGUAGCGGUGGAAUGCGUAGAGAUCCGGAAGAACACCGGUGGCGAAGGCGGCCUGCUGGGCAGUUGCUGACACUGAGGCGCGACAGCGUGGGGAGCAAACAGG
rnacentral:rRNA from 1 species